GAAUGAACGCUGGCGGCGUGCUUAACACAUGCAAGUCGAACGCGAAAGUUCCUUCGGGGAUGAGUAGAGUGGCAAACGGGUGAGUAACACGUGGGUAACCUGCCCUUCAGUGGGGGAUAACGUUGCGAAAGCGGCGCUAAUACCGCAUGACAAACUGCUAAACAGUUAGACGGUUUUAAAGCAGCAAUGCGCUGAAGGAGGGGCCCGCGGCCCAUUAGCUAGUUGGUGGGGUAAUGGCCUACCAAGGCUCCGAUGGGUAGCCGGCCUGAGAGGGUGUACGGCCACACUGGAACUGAGACACGGUCCAGACUCCUACGGGAGGCAGCAGUGGGGAAUAUUGCGCAAUGGGCGAAAGCCUGACGCAGCGACGCCGCGUGGGUGAUGAAGUUUUUCGGAACGUAAAACCCUGUCGGGAGGAACGAAGAUCUGACGGUACCUCCAAAGGAAGCCCCGGCUAACUCCGUGCCAGCAGCCGCGGUAAGUACGGGGGGGGC
rnacentral:rRNA from 1 species